UUAAGCGACUAAGCGUACACGGUGGAUGCCCUGGCAGUCAGAGGCGAUGAAGGACGUGCUAAUCUGCGAUAAGCGUCGGUAAGGUGAUAUGAACCGUUAUAACCGGCGAUUUCCGAAUGGGGAAACCCAGUGUGUUUCGACACACUAUCAUUAACUGAAUCCAUAGGUUAAUGAGGCGAACCGGGGGAACUGAAACAUCUAAGUACCCCGAGGAAAAGAAAUCAACCGAGAUUCCCCCAGUAGCGGCGAGCGAACGGGGAGCAGCCCAGAGCCUGAAUCAGUGUGUGUGUUAGUGGAAGCGUCUGGAAAGGCGUGCGAUACAGGGUGACAGCCCCGUACACAAAAAUGCACAUGCUGUGAGCUCGAUGAGUAGGGCGGGACACGUGGUAUCCUGUCUGAAUAUGGGGGGACCAUCCUCCAAGGCUAAAUACUCCUGACUGACCGAUAGUGAACCAGUACCGUGAGGGAAAGGCGAAAAGAACCCCGGCGAGGGGAGUGAAAAAGAACCUGAAACCGUGUACGUACAAGCAGUGGGAGCACGCUUAGGCGUGUGACUGCGUACCUUUUGUAUAAUGGGUCAGCGACUUAUAUUCUGUAGCAAGGUUAACCGAAUAGGGGAGCCGAAGGGAAACCGAGUCUUAACUGGGCGUUAAGUUGCAGGGUAUAGACCCGAAACCCGGUGAUCUAGCCAUGGGCAGGUUGAAGGUUGGGUAACACUAACUGGAGGACCGAACCGACUAAUGUUGAAAAAUUAGCGGAUGACUUGUGGCUGGGGGUGAAAGGCCAAUCAAACCGGGAGAUAGCUGGUUCUCCCCGAAAGCUAUUUAGGUAGCGCCUCGUGAAUUCAUCUCCGGGGGUAGAGCACUGUUUCGGCAAGGGGGUCAUCCCGACUUACCAACCCGAUGCAAACUGCGAAUACCGGAGAAUGUUAUCACGGGAGACACACGGCGGGUGCUAACGUCCGUCGUGAAGAGGGAAACAACCCAGACCGCCAGCUAAGGUCCCAAAGUCAUGGUUAAGUGGGAAACGAUGUGGGAAGGCCCAGACAGCCAGGAUGUUGGCUUAGAAGCAGCCAUCAUUUAAAGAAAGCGUAAUAGCUCACUGGUCGAGUCGGCCUGCGCGGAAGAUGUAACGGGGCUAAACCAUGCACCGAAGCUGCGGCAGCGACACUAUGUGUUGUUGGGUAGGGGAGCGUUCUGUAAGCCUGUGAAGGUGUGCUGUGAGGCAUGCUGGAGGUAUCAGAAGUGCGAAUGCUGACAUAAGUAACGAUAAAGCGGGUGAAAAGCCCGCUCGCCGGAAGACCAAGGGUUCCUGUCCAACGUUAAUCGGGGCAGGGUGAGUCGACCCCUAAGGCGAGGCCGAAAGGCGUAGUCGAUGGGAAACAGGUUAAUAUUCCUGUACUUGGUGUUACUGCGAAGGGGGGACGGAGAAGGCUAUGUUGGCCGGGCGACGGUUGUCCCGGUUUAAGCGUGUAGGCUGGUUUUCCAGGCAAAUCCGGAAAAUCAAGGCUGAGGCGUGAUGACGAGGCACUACGGUGCUGAAGCAACAAAUGCCCUGCUUCCAGGAAAAGCCUCUAAGCAUCAGGUAACAUCAAAUCGUACCCCAAACCGACACAGGUGGUCAGGUAGAGAAUACCAAGGCGCUUGAGAGAACUCGGGUGAAGGAACUAGGCAAAAUGGUGCCGUAACUUCGGGAGAAGGCACGCUGAUAUGUAGGUGAAGCGACUUGCUCGUGGAGCUGAAAUCAGUCGAAGAUACCAGCUGGCUGCAACUGUUUAUUAAAAACACAGCACUGUGCAAACACGAAAGUGGACGUAUACGGUGUGACGCCUGCCCGGUGCCGGAAGGUUAAUUGAUGGGGUUAGCCGCAAGGCGAAGCUCUUGAUCGAAGCCCCGGUAAACGGCGGCCGUAACUAUAACGGUCCUAAGGUAGCGAAAUUCCUUGUCGGGUAAGUUCCGACCUGCACGAAUGGCGUAAUGAUGGCCAGGCUGUCUCCACCCGAGACUCAGUGAAAUUGAACUCGCUGUGAAGAUGCAGUGUACCCGCGGCAAGACGGAAAGACCCCGUGAACCUUUACUAUAGCUUGACACUGAACAUUGAGCCUUGAUGUGUAGGAUAGGUGGGAGGCUUUGAAGUGUGGACGCCAGUCUGCAUGGAGCCGACCUUGAAAUACCACCCUUUAAUGUUUGAUGUUCUAACGUUGACCCGUAAUCCGGGUUGCGGACAGUGUCUGGUGGGUAGUUUGACUGGGCGGUCUCCUCCUAAAGAGUAACGGAGGAGCACGAAGGUUGGCUAAUCCUGGUCGGACAUCAGGAGGUUAGUGCAAUGGCAUAAGCCAGCUUGACUGCGAGCGUGACGGCGCGAGCAGGUGCGAAAGCAGGUCAUAGUGAUCCGGUGGUUCUGAAUGGAAGGGCCAUCGCUCAACGGAUAAAAGGUACUCCGGGGAUAACAGGCUGAUACCGCCCAAGAGUUCAUAUCGACGGCGGUGUUUGGCACCUCGAUGUCGGCUCAUCACAUCCUGGGGCUGAAGUAGGUCCCAAGGGUAUGGCUGUUCGCCAUUUAAAGUGGUACGCGAGCUGGGUUUAGAACGUCGUGAGACAGUUCGGUCCCUAUCUGCCGUGGGCGCUGGAGAACUGAGGGGGCUGCUCCUAGUACGAGAGGACCGGAGUGGACGCAUCACUGGUGUUCGGGUUGUCAUGCCAAUGGCACUGCCCGGUAGCUAAAUGCGGAAGAGAUAAGUGCUGAAAGCAUCUAAGCACGAAACUUGCCCCGAGAUGAGUUCUCCCUGACUCCUUGAGAGUCCUGAAGGAACGUUGAAGACGACGACGUUGAUAGGCCGGGUGUGUAAGCGCAGCGAUGCGUUGAGCUAACCGGUACUAAUGAACCGUGAGGCUUAACCUU
rnacentral:rRNA from 1 species